UACGGGGGGGGCAAGCGUUGUUCGGAAUUACUGGGCGUAAAGGGCUCGUAGGCGGCCAACUAAGUCAGACGUGAAAUCCCUCGGCUUAACCGGGGAACUGCGUCUGAUACUGGAUGGCUUGAGUUUGGGAGAGGGAUGCGGAAUUCCGGGUGUAGCGGUGAAAUGCGUAGAGAUGUGGAGGAACACCGAUAGCGAAGGCAGCUUGCUACACAAUCAUUGACACUGAGGCACGAAAGCGUGGGGAUCAAACAGG
rnacentral:rRNA from 1 species